GGACAGGUGGCUGAGCGGUCGAAAGCAGCGGCCCGCAAGGGUCGUUAUACGGUCAAAGGCCGUAUCGGAGGUUCGAAUCCUUCCCCUGUCCGCCA
rnacentral:tRNA from 1 species